rnacentral:rRNA from 1 species
CCUACGGUAGGCAGCAGUGAGGAAUAUUGGUCAAUGGCCGGAAGGCUGAACCAGCCAUGCCGCGUGAAGGUCAGUGCCCUAUGGGCGUUAAACUUCUUUUGUGCGGGAGCAAUAAUGGUCACGUGUGGCCAGACGAGAGUACCGUACGAAUAAGCAUCGGCUAACUCCGUGCCAGCAGCCGCGGUAAGACGGGGGAUGCAAGCGUUAUCCGGAUUUAUUGGGUUGAAAGGGUGCGUAGGCUGUGAGGUAAGUCAGCGGUGAAAUGCCCCCGCUUAACGGGGUGAAGUGCCAUUGAUACUGCCUGGCUGGAAUGCGGAUGCGGUGGGAGGAAUGUGUGGUGUAGCGGUGAAAUGCAUAGAUAGCACACAGAACACCGAUUGCGAAGGCAUCUCACGAAUCCGCGAUUGACGCUGAUGCACGAAAGCGUGGGUAGCAAACAGGAUUAGAUACCCCUGUAGUC